rnacentral:rRNA from 1 species
UACGAAGGGGGCUAGCGUUGUUCGGAAUUACUGGGCGUAAAGGGUGCGUAGGCGGUUGUUUAAGUCUGUCGUGAAAUCCCCGGGCUCAACCUGGGAAUGGCGAUGGAUACUGGGCAGCUAGAGUGUGUCAGAGGAUGGUGGAAUUCCCGGUGUAGCGGUGAAAUGCGUAGAGAUCGGGAGGAACAUCAGUGGCGAAGGCGGCCAUCUGGGUCAACACUGACGCUGAAGCACGAAAGCGUGGGGAGCAAACAGG